UGGCGCUUUCUUUUUCUUUCUCCAUCGCUUGGUCUGUGUAUCUGUUACACACCCCCGCAAUGAUAAUGAGGUUAGAGAUUAGGGAAUGAAAAACAGGAUGUGACUUGUCACAUUACAAAGAGGCUGAGUGGUGGCUGAAAACAGGGUGUAGCCUGAUCCAAAAUGGAGGCUGAAAUACCUGUUGUGACUGGCUGAUCGUGGCCAGGUUGCCCUGGCAGAGGAGCUUCUGAUUGACUGGGUCUCCGGGACAGUGACAGAUGGCAGCCACUGACGUCCCCGCCACGUGAUCUUCCUGCUCUGUUGUCUUCCUGCUUCUCCCGUGGUCUAUGCUGCUUGUGAGAUCCAUUUCUUCUUGGUCUUCUCUUUCCUUUUUUUUAGAUAAAAGUUGCAUACACCUCUUUUAAAAAGUUACUCUUUAAAUAGGAUGAGGAAAGAGGUAUUUUAAGAAAGAGCUAGCGUGGCAGCUUUCUUUACAGAAUUCCUUAAACCUGGCUGACCCUCGGAAACAUUUGGCGGAGCUUUUCUGUUGUUGUUUUUGUUUGGAUGUGGAUUCCUGGGCUCAUCCAGAGAGGUGCUGAUUUGCAGCUCCAGGUAGAGCCCGGAUGUCUGGACCUUUCAGCGCUGAGCUUAGUCCAGGACGCACCGCUCUCCAGUCUCCACUCCUACUGCUGCAGAUGAGGAAGCGGACACCAGGGAGGCGAAGCCGCACUGGCUCGGCUACAGCGUUCGGUGGCACUGAGAGCACAUGUUAUUUCACUGUGUGUGCCUCACCCUUUCCACUCCGUCGCCGGACCGAGAGGGCGAAGUGCACAGGAGAACUCACGUCAUCCGUCCACCUCCCUGGCUAAGGAAAAGCAGUACGAAUCUCAUGGCACGAGAGCAUACUCUAGCGGUCGUGAAGGAAAGCAAACACUUCCGAACUGCUGAAUUUAUCCACUCCUGGGAGUACCAGAUAAAUACUCCUUGUUUGGGCAAAAGGUUAGGUAGGCUUCCCUCACAAAAGAGCAAAGGAAAUUAAAAGAACAUUGUGUGACAACUCCUAGCCUUAGAAUAAAGCAACUUCAAGUCUUCUAAUUCUCCUUUCAGAAGAAAUAAAUUUUUCUUUUAUCCAAUGCUCAAUGCCUAGGGCAAACAAACAAGAAUUAUUAAAAAUCUUCAAACAAUCUAAAAUAACAUCCUACAUAGUGAGGUUUUAGAAAAUAUAUUUUUUCCCCUUUCCUUCUUAAAUCCGAGCCACAUUCAGAUUUUCCUCUUAGAGAGUCUGUUUAAAGAAGGGCAAGGGAACAGAUACUAGAUAUAAUACCUAAAGUAAACUCCCUUCAGCCAUGACAGUGUUAUUACAAACUUGAGUGAAUACCAUUAUUUCGGAUAAAUAAAAACAAUGGACCAGAACUGAUUUUACGUAAGGAAAUACUGUUCAAUUUGUUGCAAGAUUUGCUGAAGUCUCUUCUGGUCUAUCAAGUGAUGAUUAAUUAUAAAUAAGAGUGUUUGUCUUUGCUUUAAGAUAGCAUUCUUAUAAAAACACACUCAUACAUUAAGUAUACAAUACUGCCAGCGUGUGUGUAUAAGUACGUGUGUCUUCAAAAUGCAGGAAAUGUGCCCUUGGUUUAAAAUGUAAAUUAUACUCUUAAAAUCAUACUAAUGUGAACUGGGUGGGGAAAAAAAUUCAACACCACCACACACACAAAAAAUAAAAAACUUCUUAAAAGCCAGAAGCCUUGUGUUCUAUUGUGUUUAGACUUAAAAUAUGGAACUAUUUAGAAAGAAUUAGAGAGAUUAUAUUUAUUUGAUUUCAAGUUAUCUCAGCAAGCAGCACAUUUUUCAUACCUCUUUGGAAGAACAGCAGGUCAAAUGACACAUUUGUGAGUGACUCUUUGAAAUAUUUCAGCCACACCACGGGGUCCACCUGACCUGAGCACCGUAGAUCAAAGGAACAAAAGCUUAUGUUUUAAAUGUUCCUUUGAGAGGCUUUCCAGGGGUGAGGAAACUCAGGAAGCUGUCAUAGGCCUUGCCUUUUAUUUUUGUCCUAUGACACUAAUCAGUUUAAUUAUAUUUCUAACUCAUGACUUGGGGUCAUAAUUAAUCUUUUUCCAAUGUAAACAUUAUAUAGCAUACUUUUACCAUUUUCCAAGAAAAAGAAAAGUCUGUUUCAAACUCACCC
rnacentral:lncRNA from 1 species